GCGCCAGUAGUGCAGUGGGUUAGAGCACGUACUCCAGUAUAGAGUGAGAUGUGGGUUCGAGUCCCGCAUGGCGCG